AAAUAACCAGAUGAGAAGAAUAUUUUUUUAUUAUCCACUAUAAUAUACAAAAACUUACAUUGUGCAUGGUAACAUAACUCAAGCUCAAGAAACCAAGAGCAUAAUAACUUUAGAAAACUACUUAUCACAUGCAACCUAGUUCAUGUGAAAGCUAAAAUGGUCCUAGCGACCACAUGGUAUCAGUAGCAUACUCACAUAGCAGAGACUGAGCUCAAAUUCACAGACUUUGCAUGCAUUGCAACAGUGGGUUUUCUCAUCUACAAGUGAAACUCAGGAUUUGCAAAGCAAAUAAAGAAAACAUCAUGGUUCAGUCAGAUAGAUAGCUCAUGGCCAUACAAAAAUAGGUUCUUUGUUACAAUUGCAAAAGGAUCUAUGUCUGAAAUACUUGUUAGUUUUCAUCCAUCAGCAUAAAUCAAACUACGAAAUCCUAAUAAGCAACACUUAUAAAUUAGUGUGAAGACAUCCCUAAAGGACAAAUAAUUGAUACGUACUGGGCAUGUGAUGGAAUAGGGUGAAAGAAGCAAUUCUGAAAUUUGAAACGUAAACAUAAUUGAAUGGGUAAUUAC
rnacentral:misc_RNA from 1 species